ACCGUACUCCUACGGGAGGCAGCAGUGGGGAGUAUUGGACAAUGGAGGGAACCCUGAUCCAGCCAUGCCGCGUGUGUGAAGAAGGCCUUUUGGUUGUAAAGCACUUUAAGCGAGGAGGAGGCUACUCUAGUUAAUACCCAGGGAUAGUGGACGCUACUCGCAGAAUAAGCACCGGCUAACUCUGCGCCAGCAGCCGCGGUAAUACAGAGGGUGCGAGCGUUAAUCGGAUUUACUGGGCGUAAAGCGUGCGUAGGCGGCUUUUUAAGUCGGAUGUGAAAUCUCUGAGCUUAACUUAGGAAUUGCAUUCGAUACUGGGAAGCUAGAGUAUGGGAGAGGAUGGUAGAAUUCCAGGUGUAGCGGUGAAAUGCGUAGAGAUCUGGAGGAAUACCGAUGGCGAAGGCAGCCAUCUGGUCUAAUACUGACGCUGAGGUACGAAAGCAUGGGGAGCAAACAGGAUUAGAAACCCUUGUAGUCCUUGAC
rnacentral:rRNA from 1 species